rnacentral:tRNA from 1 species
AUGGAACUGGCCGUGGAGAAUAUGGCCGAUUUUGUGGAGAUCGAUGUGCAGGAGACGGCCGACGGCGUGGUGGUUCUGGGCCAUGAUUCCACA